AUCCUUCACAAAGGUCAUAUGGGAAGUGAUGAACGGGUUAAUCAUGUUUUUACAUGAGAUGUGCUCCCCUUCACUUGUUACGCAUGAGUACAUCAACCUUCUGAUC
rfam:Lingula anatina scaffold147, whole genome shotgun sequence.